GUAAAGUGAGGCAGAGGGAGGCACGUAGUGAUAAAGCAGGGUAAUGCAGGGGAAGCAUCUCAUCACAAGGAAAAAAUGUUUCAAUCUAGAAGAUAGAAAUAAUAAUUAGUAGUAAAUAUAAAAUAACCAACAGUCCAGGAAGGACCAAAGCUGUGGAACGUGAGUAGUAAGGAACAAGCGUCCAGCAGAGAGGACCGGGGGCUAUUGUGGAAAAAUCCUUCUUGCUGCCCAUUGCACAGCUGCGGCGAGAGACAAACAGCAUGCAAGGCCAUCCUAGCUGAGGGACACGAGAGUCGAAACCAAAGCAGCGAUAGUAUUACACCACCCUUGCCAAGGCUGGAAAAUAUUUUUCAGGGAUGAUUCUCCAGAUGAAUUGUGAGCUGGGAACAACGAGCCUAUAAGCCACGGGGUCGUGGUGUGAGUAUGCACGUGAAGGGGAAGUUUGCUGUUUGUAUGAACUCUAGCUGAUUUUGUAUUAUUUUGGUUUUGGAUACAUUUGUGGCUAAUCCUGCAAAUGGAUACAGCUUUCAUACACUCCUUCUGCAGCUUGCUCUGCUAGAAGAACUGAAGCCGAGAAAUCCUAUCAUUUUUUGCCACAGCACUGCCUUAGCAUGUGCCUUUCUGUCAGGAUGAUGCUGUGCAUCAACAAACACCACAGGAGAACCCAGCCCUACCAAUGCAGCUGAGCACAUAACAGGAGGGCACCUGGAGAGAAAGAGGUUGCCCCUCCAGAACAGUGCCAAGCAAGAGGCCGAGCCAUAUGACAGGCACAGGCUACAGUUAGGGCCAGCAAUGUGUAAAGGAGCUGCAAGUGCUCUGAGAUUUCUGUAUCUGGUGAUCUGUCUGCUCUGUCUUUGCCAUGUUGCUUUCCUGCUGCCUGAAUGUCCACAUCUGUUCUGAUCAGGCUCCUCUGCAGGCCCCUCGGGUGGUUGAAUCUUGGUGGGGGGAGCCGUGUAGGGGUGGGCUCAUACCUGCUUUUUUGGCAGCCCAGCCCAAAGGCUACAUCUUCAGGCACAGAGGAGAGGAAUUUAAAGAAGAUUAUGUGGUCAAAUCUAUGUGCUGUGUGGCUUCUCUGUCCACCUAUAACUGUGGCAUCAUGUGUGUGGUAAAGCUAGCAGUUUGAGAUAUUCUAGUUUCAGAGCCCUCAGCAGAACAGACUUGGACAUUUCUUCCUUAGUCCCCAGGAUGCUGCGUAUCGGGGGAACUGGAGGUGGCACUUAACAGGCUCUGCCCCAAGCCCUGCGUACCCCACAUUACAUGGCAGGAGCACAUCCAGGGGGAAAUCACCAUGCAGGGCAGAUGAAGUGUCCUCUGAAUCUAUCCCUGCAGCCUGGCCCGUCCUGUCCAUCUGCCUGGAACUGUAGAGCCAACCCAUGUCCUGGAGGCAGUGGAUUUCCUGAAACUUGCUAGCCUACAUGGUCGUGAUUGCACUCGGGGGUGUUUAAUGGCUACGGAACAACUGAAGAAAAGGUGAUAGAUCUUAUAUGUAAUUAGUAGUGCUUCCUUGGAAAGCUACUGAUGAGAUUGUGUCAAUCUGUGCCAGGUGAAGCCCUAAAGUUUUGCAAAAUUCAGAUUUUUUUUUUACUGUGAUUGUACUAGAAAAUCUUGUUUUAUUUGUAGCUGUGUCCUUGCAAAUUGCAUUAUAGACUGUGAAGUUACAGAGCUCCUGUUUUUUCCAGAAAAUGUGCACUGCAUUUAUUGUGUGGUUUUACAGCAUGUAGAAGACCUCUGGCUUUCCAGUAAUGUAACUGUGAACUAAGACAUAAUAAAGAUAGUCUGCUUUUUUUUUUUCCAGUAGUGACUAUAGAGUCAAGUUGCCUCAGUUUUUAGGUUCCUGAGCAGAAACUCCUGAAAUACCUCUGCUUUUAAGAAAAGAGGUGAGCAGAAUUUUCAGGAAAUCAGUCCUUUCUAAGGUAAAUUUGUGACCUUCUCAUAGUAGUUUUGAGGUCUUGAGAACUUUGAAGGCUAACAGCCACCUAAAGGACAGCCUUCUUUAGCAUGAGAGCCCGCUUUACUGAAAUCUCUAUCUGGCUUCUGCGGUGAUUACAAACAUUUGGACAGCAUGGAAAUUGGAUGUGUCUUUACUGACUCAGACCCUUAGCUAAAAGAAAUAUAGCCACAGCAGGAGGGGGCUAAGGAAGGGAGCAAUUCAUUUAGUUUUCCAAUAGUAUUGCAACAACAUGGCCAUCGUAAUUUAAAAGCCUUUGGAACAGUCUUCUUCAUUUCCUCCUAUCCCACUCCCUCAACUUUUUGUCUUGGUCUGGCUUUUGUUCACUUCACGCAGCCUGCCAGACCAACCUGAGCCUGCCUGAACCCAACCGGUUGGUCCCUGACGUAAUCCCGAGUGGUGACCUGAGAGGCCGACCUCAAGAUUUGCCGGGCGGAAAAGGACCCACUUGGUUUUAAAGUGCUGGCUCUGUUUUGUAAGGGGCUGGCAAAGUAUGUUUUUCUUUUUACUUUUAUAGCUUGUUCCAAAGUCCAUAGAGGAUACACAGCUGGCUGGCAAUACCACAGCUAAUUCCAUGGCUGCAGAGUCUUAAAAAGCCUCUGGUGAUGAUGCUCGAAAGCAAGGCACAGGAGUAGUGCACACUAUGUAAUAUGCACGCUGCCUACAGACCUGCAUGCACUCCACAAAUGCACAGCAUUUUCAAGGUGUUUCAUUAAUCUGUAGUGGAAAUAAAGCACACGUUUCUAUAGAUAGCAAGUUCUAAGUGCUCCUGAUCUGUGUCAGUUUUGAUUCUACUCCAUUGCUCCUUGUUCUCCCUUGUUUAAUGCCACCUGAAGUGAAUGACGCCUUCCAAACCUGUUUUACAUUUUGGUACUUGCUUGUGUCCAGACAAUAGCAAGCUGUUGUUUUAGAACUAAAUAAAUAUUCUGAUUCCAAAUGAA